AGUUAUGGGUCAAAAUCAGAGAGGUGAGCAUUAUGCUUCCGACAAAGUUUUUCCUCAUUUUAUUACAUGAUAUUACUAAAAUACUUAUUUCAAAAUAAAGGUUCUGUGCAUAUAAUUACAGCGCACUCAGCAUAUUUAUUUCGCUAUGGUAAGUUUUAUUUGAUUUUAAACAAAAAAGGUCUAAAUCGUCAUUCCGGGAAUGCGUCCUUAUACCAUGUUUCAUAGUUCAGACAAGUAUUUUUUUUUUUAAAUUACCACUUAAAACUGUCAUAUUUUAAUAUUGGCUUUUAGUGUAAUCAAAUUAAGAAUACACGUAUAAAUUACAUUAUUACAAGUAAAACUUCUUCAUAUUUCGGCUAUUCAAAUGCUGUCCGUCGUUUAUCAAAUCAUUCCGUGAACGUGGUGGAUAUCGGUCAAUGUAAAUAAAACAACACACGCCAGGUGGCGUUAGCGAGCAGCAGUGUAAAGUUCACAAUUCAAAGCAAAAGGCGUGUGUUGUGUUUUCGAAAAAAAAUUAUUAGAUUUUGUUGGUAUCCAUUUAGUACGAGUAAGAUGGAGAACGAUGAAAAUGAAGAGAAAAGGAAGU